rnacentral:rRNA from 1 species
AUUGAACGCUGGCGGCAGGCCUAACACAUGCAAGUCGAACGAGUGGCGGACGGGUGAGUAAUGUCUGGGAAACUGCCUGAUGGAGGGGGAUAACUACUGGAAACGGUAGCUAAUACCGCAUACCAUCGGAUUUGCCCAGAUGUGAUUAGCUAGUAGGUGGGGUAAAGGCUCACCUAGGCGACGAUCCCUAGCUGGUCUGAGAGGAUGACCAGCCAAACUGGAACUGAGUCACGGGCCAGAAUCCUACGGGAGGCAGCAGUGGGGCAGAUUGCGCAAUGGGCGAAAGCCUGAUGCGGCCAUGCCACGUGUAUGAAGAAGGCCGUCGGGUUGUAAAGUACUUUCAGCGGGGAGGCGUUACCCGCAGAAGAAGCACCGGCUAACUCCGUGCCAGCAGCCGCGGUAAUAC